UGGGGAAUAUUGCACAAUGGGGGGAAACCCUGAUGCAGCGACGCCGCGUGAAGGAAGAAGUAUCUCGGUAUGUAAACUUCUAUCAGCAGGGAAGAUAAUGACGGUACCUGACUAAGAAGCCCCGGCUAACUACGUGCCAGCAGCCGCGGUAAUACGUAGGGGGCAAGCGUUAUCCGGAUUUACUGGGUGUAAAGGGAGCGUAGGCGGCGGAGCAAGUCAGAAGUGAAAGCCCGGGGCUCAACCCCGGGACGGCUUUUGAAACUGCCCUGCUUGAUUUCAGGAGAGGUAAGCGGAAUUCCUAGUGUAGCGG
rnacentral:rRNA from 1 species